rnacentral:rRNA from 1 species
CAGUAGCCGCGGGAAUACAGAGGAUGCAAGCGUUAUCCGGAAUGAUUGGGCGUAAAGCGUCUGUAGGUGGCUUUUCAAGUCCGCCGUCAAAUCCCAGGGCUCAACCCUGGACAGGCGGUGGAAACUACCAAGCUGAAGUACGGUAGGGGCAGAGGGAAUUUCCGGUGGAGCGGUGAAGUGCGUUGAGAUCGGAAAGAACACCAACGGCGAAAGCACUCUGCUGGGCCGACACUGACACUGAGAGACGAAAGCUACGGGAGCAAAUGGGAUUAGAUACCCCCGUAGUCCCUGUCUCUUAUAC